ACCCCUUGGGGAGUAGCCUGCCUCGUUGCGACGAGGCGUCUUCGUCAACAUGCUCGGCACGUCUGCCGUGGCGAAGACACCGAUCCUGGUUGGCGAGACCAACGGCUGACGGCGCCACGACGGUGGGGCGCGCCGUCGUGCCGUUGCGUCCAGCCCCGUCGUUCG
rnacentral:sRNA from 2 species